rnacentral:rRNA from 1 species
AGUGAACGCUGGCGGUAGGCCUAACACAUGCAAGUCGAACGGCAGCACAGUAAGAGCUUGCUCUUACGGGUGGCGAGUGGCGGACGGGUGAGGAAUACAUCGGACUCUACUUUUUCGUGGGGGAUAACGUAGGGAAACUUACGCUAAUACCGCAUACGACCUACGGGUGAAAGCAGGGGAUCUUCGGACCUUGCGCGAUUGAAUGAGCCGAUGUCGGAUUAGCUAGUUGGCGGGGUACAGGCCCACCAAGGCGACGAUCCGUAGCUGGUCUGAGAGGAUGAUCAGCCACACUGGAAGUGAGACACGGUCCAGACUCCUACGGGAGGCAGCAGUGGGGAAUAUUGGACAAUGGGCGCAAGCCUGAUCCAGCCAUACCGCGUGGGUGAAGAAGGCCUUCGGGUUGGAAAGCCCUUUUGUUGGUAAAGAAAAGCAGCAGGUUAAUACCCCGCUGUUCUGACGGUACCCAAAGAAGAAGCACCGGCUAACUUCGUG